rnacentral:tRNA from 1 species
AGGAGUUUGACUUUGUGGUAAAAUGCUUACCUGGCACGCAUGAGGCCCUGGGUUCAAUUCCUAGAACUACAG